rnacentral:rRNA from 1 species
UACAGAGGUCCCAAGCGUUGUUCGGAUUCACUGGGCGUAAAGGGUGCGUAGGCGGUCGGGUAAGUCUGGCGUGAAAUCUCCAAGCCUAACUUGGAAACUGCGUUGGAUACUAUCCGGCUCGAGGAAUGGAGGGGAGACUGGAAUACUUGGUGUAGCGGUGAAAUGCGUAGAUAUCAAGUGGAACACCAGUGGCGAAGGCGAGUCUCUGGACAUUUCCUGACGCUGAGGCACGAAAGCCAGGGGAGCAAACGGG